ensembl:lncRNA
GGAGGUAAAGCAGGGCCCUAAGGGCAAGCGGCGUUGGAAGGGAGGGGUGUUGGGGGUCCAGGCCGAGCUCCGAGCCCUCUGGGGUCACCUCAGUCCUGAGGGCAGAGACUGGCUUCUUACUCCACUUCCCUCUCCUCUCUGUCCCCCCAUCUCAGUGUGUGUUCCAGAGGUGACAAGGGCUUCUCCACCCACAGAAGCCUCCCCCUGGGGAGGACUCACACAGACCCAUCCUAGAAGAAAAUGGGCUAUCAGGGCCUGAGCUGCUGUGGACACACAGAGUGGGUCGGGCAGGAAUGCCCUGGUCCAGCUCUCUGCCGAGGAAGCCCUUCUCACUGCAGUUGACACCUCCCUCCUGCUUCUGAGCCAAGCAGAGUUUCCCAUCCUCCACAUGACAGAGGAGCCGGCUUCAGACCUACCAGAGCCCCAAGAGCCCUGGCUGAUUCCUGGUGUGUUCCGGACUUGCCGAGGAUGGGACCAGCACACAGCAGGUGCUCAACAAACCUUCACAGGCCCCGUGGUGGACGUUGGGACAGCACAGUCCACAAUGCCUCGGACACCAUCUCCCGACCCAGCUCCCCUGCAGCAGAUUUCUCUCCCCACUUUCUUCCCCAGACCCCCUCCCUGGGGCCCAGUGCCCGCAGCUUCUCUUGGGCCCCUCUCAGGACCAAGAUAAAGAUGAGGAAGAGCUUUCUCAAGGCUGGAGGCCCACUGAGGAGGCUGGUCCUCCCUCGGAGUGACAGCCAGGUGACCCUGGGGGCCUGGUGCUGCUGUGAGGGAGUUGGGGUUCACCUGUGCCCCAGCUGAAAACCCCACCACCCCCGGCGUCACCCUUUCUCCAAUAAGUUCUCAUGGUGAGCUCACGCCUUCCAUAGGUGUUAUUAAUAUGACAACCUCGCUGCCUCUCCCAGCCCCCGAGUCAGGUCAGGCUUUUUAAUUAGCCCCACCAAUAAAUGUGUCAGAAGUCCCCUUAAAAAUAUGUCUCUCUUCCAGGGCCAUGCUGAGUGACGAUGUAAAUGGGGCUUAGACACCAGGCACGGUUGUCUCAAACUCCUCAUGCAGUGGCAUCGCCUGAGAACAGGGGAGCCCACCCACCUGCCCAGGGAUCUAAACGCUCAGCCCUGCCAGGCCCCUGACCAUGGUGGGGUGUCCCCUGGGGCCCCAACUUCACCAGGGAUGGUGGGGAAAGAGGGGGCUAUGGUUGGUGGGCUGGAGGCACCCACAGCAGCUCAAGCCCAGCCCUUGUAGGCUGUGCCGGGCGGCAGGUUUUGUCUUUGGCCUCCACCCAUGUCUUAGGGGGUAACCUGGUGUUCUGGAAGGGGUUUCUUUCCAAAGACGGUGGCCCCAGGGACCAUGGGGAGGGCGUCCAGCCCCUUGGUGCUGGUAACCAGCUUUGCAUGCACCACUCCAGCCCCUGUUGUCAGGGGCCACCAGUUCCAGGGCACCUCGGGGGUCAGAGAGAAGACGAGAUGGAGAAGUUCACGUUUGGAAUGUGACCAUGGGUCUUGGCUCCCAGCCCCGCUGCCCAGGGAACUAGGGGUGGGGUAGGCAAAGAAGAUGCUUACCUUGGGGAG